CUCCAAAACUUCAGUAUUGCUAGGAUGCCGAAAGUCCACAUUAUGAGACGAUGCCCAAGUUUGGAACACAUCCCAGAUCCUAUGGUAGCAUGAAGUAGAAGCCUUCCUGGAGAGCAGAAGGGUAAUGAUCACCGCCUCCGCGAGACCUAGUAAUUGGAGUCUUUCUUUCUCAAGACCCAUACCCCAAGUUUGAGGCAUUCCGGAUGAGGAUGGAAUACAGGGC